UACGUAGGGAGCAAGCGUUAUCCGGAUUUAUUGGGUGUAAAGGGUGCGUAGACGGGAAUUUAAGUUAGUUGUGAAAUCCCUCGGCUUAACUGAGGAACUGCAACCAAAACUGAAUUUCUUGAGUGCGGGAGAGGAAAGUGGAAUUCCUAGUGUAGCGGUGAAAUGCGUAGAUAUUAGGAGGAACACCAGUGGCGAAGGCGACUUUCUGGACCGUAACUGACGUUGAGGCACGAAAGUGUGGGGAGCAAACAGG
rnacentral:rRNA from 1 species